GACGAUAUUUAAGGGGCGGGGGAGGGCAGAAGAGAGGUGUGUAGGCUAGGUUAGGUCGGGGGGAGGCUAGAGCGGCUCUUUAGAGGAGGCUAGCUUCGCUUCGGUUCCGAGAGAGCAGGGGGAGGAGUUCUACGUCUAGAAACACUUCUGGGAGUGGCCGUUCUGGUAGUGGGAACUCCAGCUCAGGAGGCUGUGGUAGCUGUUGCAGUUCCGAUUCUAGGUCCUGUUCCUCCCGUAGGGAGGCCUGGUCGUCGCGAACUAGAAGCGACCGUUCGUCGAGCUCCUACCGGCGUGGGACCGUCUGAUGUUGUAGGUCUUCCUCAGGUGGGAAGUGGACCACGAGUCCGAGGCACCACCGUACGUCUAUAAACACUUCUGUGAGUGGCCGUUCUGGUAGUGGGACCUCCAACUCAGGAGCCUGUGGUAGCUGUUGCAGUUCCGAUUCUAGGUCCUGUUCCUCCCGUAGGGAGGCCUGGUCGUCGCAGAGUAGAAGCGACCGUUCGUCGAACUCCUACCGGCGUGGGAACGCCUAAUGUUGUAGGUCUUCCUUAGGUGGGAGGUGGAACAGGAGGCGGAAGCACCACCGUACGUUUAGAAACAGUUCUGGGAGUGACCGUUCUGGUAGUGGGACCUCCAACUCAGGAGUCUGUGGUAACUGUUACACUUCCGGUUCUAGGUCCUGUUCCUCCCGUAAGGGGGCCUGGUCGUCGCNNNNNNGAAACGGCCGUUCGUCGAGCUCCUACCGGCGUGGGAACGCCUAAUGUUGUAGGUCUUCCUCAGGUGGGAGGUGAACCACGAGUCCGAGGCACCACCGUACGUCUAUAAACACUUCUGGGAGUGGCCGUUCUGGUAGUGGGACCUCCACCUCAGUAGACUGUGGUAGCUGUUGCACUUCCGCUUCUAGGUCCUGUUCCUCCCGUAAGGGGGCCUGGUCGUCGCGGAGUAGAAACGACCAUUCGUCGAACUCCUACCGGCGUGGAACCGCCUGAUGUUGUAAGUCUUCCUCAGUUGGGAAGUGAACCACGAGGCAGAGGCACCACCGGUCAUUCGAGGACCGGUACCUCGACGAAAACAGAGACCCAAGUGUUCAGAGCAGAAGCCACAGGAAUUCCUCAGACCAGAUACAGACAGCAACGGACUUGACAGAAACAAAGAUAUGGCAUGAUACUACGUCACAAUAGCAAACAUAGACGUUUGAAGACGACCACACGUCGUCGAAACUACUUGAAUUAUAAUUCACUCGGGACUUAAGUUAGGUAUUAUAACAAACAGAACGGACUACAAAGGACAACACAA
rnacentral:rRNA from 1 species